AACCGGCGAAAGGGAAGCGGCGCAGCGCCCGACAGAUCAGGAGGGGGCCACGCGCCAUCUCGCCACGGGGACAGCGGCCAAUGAGGCGCCGCCCAAAUCUCCUCGCCGCCUCCUGAGUGGCUCGCGGCCGCUGGCCUUCUUUCGCAUUUGGGCUUCCGCGAGCCAAUUGGCUUUGCGCUGGCCAGCGGGAGAGAAGAAAGCUCGCAGGGCGCUGCACAUAUUUCCGCCCCGCCUUCGCUGCUGCUCUGAGCGCUUAUCCCAUUGGUGGCGCUGUGUUGUAAAGCACUGAGCCUCUUGGGCUUGCAGAUCGGAAGGUUGGCGGUUUGAAUCCGCGCGGUGGGGUGAGCUCCCGUUGUCCUGUCCCAGCUCCUGCUAACCUAGCAGUUCGAAAAGCACGCAGUGCAAGUAAAUAAAUAGGUGCUGCUGCAACGGGAAGGUAAAUAGCGUUUCUGUGAGCUCUGGUUUCCCUUGUGUAAGGGAGUCAUUGGAGCACCCCACAGUUGCCUAACCUUGGCUCACAUAGGUUCGCAUGGGGGGGUCACAAGCAAGAGACUUCAGCCAGGAGAUAGAAGCAAAAAAGUGGCCUCUAGGCCUGAUCUUUAUUGUUGCAACAAGACUUCCCACUACCACAAAGACGAAGCAGCCAGAAGCCCCGAACAAUGGUUACAUCAUUAUUUUAAAGUUUCCCAUAAUACAUCUCAGGAUGCAUCCUCAAGACAUCAUAGAUAUUUCACAGAAAAGGUGUGGUCUUAGGUAGAACCUGAGAUUCAGGCAUGCCCCUGUCAAAUCAAAUACAGUUGUACCUUGGAAGUCGAACGGAAUCCGUUCUGGAAGUCCGUUCAACUUCCAAAACGUUCGGAAACCAAAGCGCAGCUUCUGAUUGGCUACAGGAAGCUCCUGCAGCCAAUCGGAAGCCGAGGAAGCCCUGUCAGACGUUCAGCUUCCAAAAAUAGUUCGCAAACUGGAACAGUCACUUUGGGUUUGCUUUGUUCGGGAGCCAAAAUGUUUGAGAACUAAGCAGUUCAAAAACCAAGGUACGACUGUAUAGUCUUUCACAUGUACUCCUUCGCAGUACAGUGGUACCUCGGGUUAAGAACUUAAUUCAUUCUGGAGGUCCGUUCUUAACCUGAAACUGUUCUUGGGGACUUUCGCUUGAGGUUCCACGGAAGAUGGCCGACAAUACCAUCUCUCCAGCUCCCACGAGGCAAUUUAGAGGCUGAGAUGGGAGUAAUCAGCCUCCCAAAUUCUUCCCGGUGUAAGGGAAGAUGCAGUCUCAUCCGCGGAUGCCCGAUAAACCACCCCCAAGUUCGUAAAGAAGGAGGGGGCACUGGAUGGAAAGCCCCUGAGGGAGUUCGGAUCUCCUGGACACUGUCCCCGCGAGUGCACCAAGUUCCAUUUCUUAAGAUGAAAAAUUGGAUAUAAGUUUUGGACAAGAAAAAAAGGGUUUUCUUGUGUGUGUUUCUUUGUGGCUGAUUAGCUGCUCUCCCUGUGCAAAGGUCAGAGGGGGCAGGGUUUCUGUUGAGGCAGGUGAUUAGCUGUGGGAGGAGCUUAUCAGAGCUUGCAGGGCAGCAGCUGAAGAAGGAGCAAAAAGGGUUUUCUUGUGUGUGUGUUUCUUUGUGGCUGAUUAGCUGCUUUCCCUGUGCAAAGGUCAGAGGGCGCAGGGUUUCUGUUGAGUUUGAUCCAUCUUUUAGAUUUAGGGGAGCUAGUCUCAAACGUUUGUUGGGGGAGACCUAGGUUUUUUUUGGGGGGGAGUUAUUUGUCCUGUCUUCACCCUUUUUAUGAUGGAGGACCGCUGUAGCCACCCCCAACGACACGUUCUCAAGAUGGAGGGUGAGGGAACAGCUGCAGUCGCCUGCGGUUCCUGCGCAAUGUUUGCCAUCUUGCCAAAGGUUGCAGGCAGCUUUACCUGCAGCAAUUGCAUGUUGAUUGCCCUCUUAGAAGACAAAGUCCAGCAACUGGAGGAACAUGUAGCUACGCUCCAAAGAAUUAGAGAGCUGGAGCUCUUCUUGGAAGCAACAGAGCACACCGUCUCCACCAAGGAGGAGACAGGGGACUCUCCUGAGAAGGAGGCUAGUUCACCAACACAGGAGCCAGAUAUAUGGAGAAACGUGACUCAAAGAAGUAGGAGGCCCAGGGUUCGCUCUGAUUGUUUAGAAAUACACAAUCGCUUUGAGGUCCUCUCCCCUAGCAUGGAAGAUGAAGAGCAGACUCCAUUUGAGGAUCUCUCCCUCAUUACAGUGGAUCAGGUAUAUGAAGACGAGCAGCAAAGUCAGUCCUCAGGGAAUGUGCAGGCAACCUUGGAACGGACAGCUCACGGAAGAACCCCGACCAAACCCAAGAGGAGGCGUGUAGUGGUGAUAGGGGAUUCCCUACUGAGGGGAACAGAAGCAGUGAUCUGUGAGCCUGACAAGAUGUCUCGGGAAGUGUGCUGUCUCCCCGGGGCUAAGAUCCAAGCUGUAACUGAAAGACUGCAAGGAAUCAUAAAACCCACUGACAAAUACCCCUUCCUCUUGGUUCAUGUGGGAACCAAUGACACUGCAAGCAAUAGCCUCCAGAAGAUCAAAAGAGACUACGAGGCUCUGGGCAGGAAAUUGAAGCAAUUAAAUGCACAAAUUGUCAUCUCAUCCCAGUUGAACGACGUGGCCCAGGGAGAGAGGGAAAAAUAGUGGAAGUGAACAGCUGGCUUCGCAAAUGGUGUAAACAGGAACGGUUUGGAUUCUUAGAUCACGGACUGCAGUUUCUUGAAGAUGGACUUCUGGCAAGCGAUGGGCUGCACCUCACAACGGUUGGGAGGAAUGUUUUUGCCAAAAAUCUCAGAAACCUCAUCAGGAGGGCUUUAAACUGACUAAUGUGGGGGGAGGGAGACAGUGCUCCUGAAGGUAGGAGUCUAUCAAUUCAUGAAGAUGAUCAUCCAAAUGUCAUAGACCAAAUGGAGCAAACAGCACGCAGACCUAGUGGUGGGAGGAAAAAUCCUUAAAUAAGAGACACAGGGAAUGAUUAAUGGACUUCAAUGUCUGUACACUAAUGCGCAAAGCAUGGGAAAUAAACAAGAUGAGCUUGAGCUCUUGGUACAGCAAACUAAAUAUGACAUAAUAGGCAUCACUGAAACCUGGUGGGAUAAGUCCCACGAUUGGAAUGUAAUAAUGGAGGGAUACAAUCUAUUUCAGAGAAACAGACCAGACAAGAAAGGAGGAGGAGUGGCGUUAUAUGUCAGGGAUGUGUAUACCUGUGAAGAGAUCCAAGAUUUAGAACCUCAAAGCCAAAGUGAGAGCAUUUGGGUCAAAAUUAAGGAGAGAAGAAUAACAGUGACCUCAUUGUGGGAGUUUACUAUAGAUCCCCAAGCCAAACGGAGGACAUAGAUGAUGCCUUCCUGGAACAGAUGGCCAAGCAUGCAAAAGGAAGGGAGAUAGUAGUAAUGGGGGACUUCAAUUACCCGGAUAUUUGUUGGAUGUCAAACUCAGCCAAGAGCAUAAGGUCAAACAGAUUCCUCACUGGCCUUGCAGACAACUUCAUUGUCCAGAAAGUGGGAGAAGCAACAAGAGGAACAGCCAUUUUAGAUCUGGUCCUAACCAAUGUUGAUGACCUGGUUAGUGGGGUAGAAGUGGAAGGAUCAUUAGGCGCAAGUGAUCAUGCUCUUCUGAAGUUUACUAUACAGCAGAAAGGAGCAGCCAAGCAUACUAGGACUCAAUUUCUUGACUUUAAGAAAGCCGACUUCAUAAAACUUAGGGAAGUGCUGGGUGAGAUCCCAUGGACAGUAAUACUAAAAGGAAAGGGAGUUCAUGAUGGCUGGGAGUUUGUUAAGAGGGAGAUAGUAAAAGCACAACUUCAGGCAAUACCAAUGAGACGGAAACAUGGAAGGUGCUUAAAGAAGCCAGGGUGGCUAUCUAAAGAACUUUUAACUGAGUUAAGAU